UCCCUGUUGGCUUAGUGGUAAAGAAACUGCCUGCCAGUGCAGGAGAUAGGGGUUUGAUCCCUUGAUAGGGAA
rnacentral:tRNA from 1 species